rnacentral:rRNA from 1 species
UACGUAGGGCGCAAGCGUUAUCCGGAAUUAUUGGGCGUAAAGAGCUCGUAGGCGGUUUGUCGCGUCUGCCGUGAAAGCCCGAGGCUCAACCUCGGAACUGCCUUCGAUACUGCGGGUCUCGAGUCCGGGAGAGGUGAGUGGAAUUCCUAGUGUAGAGGUGAAAUGCGUAGAGAUGUGGAGGAACACCAGUGGCGAAGGCGACUCUUUGGUCUGUAACUGACGCUGAGGCGCGAAAGCGUGGGGAGCAAACAGG